AGUGAACGCUGGCGGUAGGCCUAACACAUGCAAGUCGAACGGCAGCACAGGAGAGCUUGCUCUCUGGGUGGCGAGUGGCGGACGGGUGAGGAAUACAUCGGAAUCUACUUUUUCGUGGGGGAUAACGUAGGGAAACUUCCGCUAAUACCGCCUACGACCUACGGGUGAAAGCAGGGGACCUUCGGGCCUUGCGCGAUUGAAUGACCCGAUGUCGGAUUAGCUAGUUGGCGGGGUAAAGGCCCACCAAGGCGACGAUCCGUAGCUGGUCUGAGAGGAUGAUCAGCCACACUGGAACUGAGACACGGUCCAGACUCCUACGGGAGGCAGCAGUGGGGAAUAUUGGACAAUGGGCGCAAGCCUGAUCCAGCCAUACCGCGUGGGUGAAGAAGGCCUUCGGGUUGUAAAGCCCUUUUGUUGGGAAAGAAAUCCAGCUGGCUAAUACCCGGUUGGGAUGACGGUACCCAAAGAAUAAGCACCGGCUAACUUCGUGCCAGCCGCCGCGGUAA
rnacentral:rRNA from 1 species